rnacentral:rRNA from 1 species
UGCCAGCCGCCGCGGUAAUACAGAGGGUGCGAGCGUUAAUCGGAAUUACUGGGCGUAAAGGGUGCGUAGGUGGUUAGAUAAGUUAGAUGUGAAAGCCCCGGGCUCAACCUGGGAAUUGCGUUUAAAACUGUUUAACUAGAGUACUGUAGAGGGUAGUGGAAUUUCCAGUGUAGCGGUGAAAUGCGUAGAUAUUGGAAGGAACACCAGUGGCGAAGGCGACUACCUGGACAGAUACUGACACUGAGGCACGAAAGCGUGGGGAGCAAACAGGAUUAGAUA